rnacentral:lncRNA from 1 species
AUGGCUUGGGGCUUGAUUUGGGUUGAUUUAGGAGUUCUAAACCUAAUUUAAGAUGUGUUUAACCCAUUAUUAAGGCCUAUAAAAUGCUUGGAACUGUGAAUAGCCGGGUGGUGUGGUCUUGUGGUGUGGCAGCGUGAUUUUGGUGUCGUGCAGAGGCUUUGUGGAGCACACGAAAACACAGGGAGAUCAAGAGAACCCACAUGAAGAGAGAGAGUAUGCGACGA